rnacentral:ncRNA from 1 species
GCUUGUUCUCAGGGCAGGGUGGAAGUCCCUACCGGCGGUAUCCUCCUCGCAAGGGAGGGAGCCCGCGAGCGCCCGCGGCCAUUGGCCGCGGGGUCAGCAGACCCGGUGAGACGCCGGGGCCGACGGUCACAGUCCGGAUGAAAGAGAAUGAGC